rnacentral:lncRNA from 1 species
CCCGUUCUUAAUGAAAAAGCCUCCUUGUGCCAAGUCACAGCCACACACUUUGCAGGUGAAGCAUUUGAUGUGAAAGUGUCUGGACUGAACACGGAGUACUUCACCUUUACAUGGCUCUCCACACUUAUGGCAGUGGAUGACUGGCUUUUCAGAUGGGUGAUGGGGCUCUUGAGGAUGGGCCACUCUGGCGGACAUGGCUCGGGCGGCCCGCACCGCCCUGCGCCCUCCGCGCCGCGGCGGCCGAUGCGGGGGCGGCGGAGGCGCUGGGUCGGGCGGGGCCGCCUCGCUCUCUCCCUCCUUUCCUGCCCGCCGCGGUGCGGGGCGGCGCCGGGGGCGUCGCUUCGGCGCGGUGCGGGGCUGCGAGCGGCGGCUGCGGGCAGGGGAGGCGGCUGCGGCUGGGCGGGACUGCGCGCAGGGGGCACGGGAGCCGCGGCGUGCCGGGCGGGCGGGGCGCGCACCGGCUGCAGGAGCCGGCCGGAGCUGCUACCGCCGCUGCUUCUAAAAUGCCUGCUGCUGCCGGGAGGUAUAAACGAGCCGACGGCACGCGAGCGGGGGCUCAGCUGCGAAUUCGCCCGCUGAACAGCACGGG